rnacentral:rRNA from 1 species
CCUACGGGUGGCAGCAGUGAGGAAUAUUGGUCAAUGGACGCAACUCUGACCCAGCAACGCCGCGUGAAUGAUGAAGGUCUUCGGAUUGUAAAGUUCUGUGAUGGGGGAUGAACACAAUGACGGUAUCUCACGAAUAAGCACCGGCUAACUCCGUGCCAGCAGCCGCGGUAAUACGGAGGGUGCAAGCGUUACUCGGAAUCACUGGGCGUAAAGAGUGCGCAGGCGGGCUUGUAAGUCAGAUGUGAAAUCCUGUAGCUUAACUACAGAACUGCAUUUGAAACUAUGAGUCUAGAGUGUGGGAGAGGUAGGUGGAAUUCUUGGUGUAGGGGUAAAAUCCGUAGAUAUCAAGAGGAAUACUCAUUGCGAAGGCGACCUACUGGAACAUUACUGACGCUCAUGCACGAAAGCGUGGGGAGCAAACAGGAUUAGAUACCCUUGUAGUC